AACGAACGCCGGCGGCAUGCCUAACACAUGCAAGUCGAACGAGAUCUUCGGAUCUAGUGGCGCACGGGUGCGUAACGCGUGGGAAUCUGCCCCUUGCUUCGGAAUAACAGUGAGAAAUUACUGCUAAUACCGGAUGAUGUCUUCGGACCAAAGAUUUAUCGGCAAGGGAUGAGCCCGCGUAGGAUUAGGUAGUUGGUGGGGUAAUGGCCUACCAAGCCGACGAUCCUUAGCUGGUCUGAGAGGAUGAUCAGCCACACUGGGACUGAGACACGGCCCAGACUCCUACGGGAGGCAGCAGUGGGGAAUAUUGGACAAUGGGCGAAAGCCUGAUCCAGCAAUGCCGCGUGAGUGAUGAAGGCCUUAGGGUUGUAAAGCUCUUUUACCAGGGAUGAUAAUGACAGUACCUGGAGAAUAAGCUCCGGCUAACUCCGUG
rnacentral:rRNA from 1 species